rnacentral:rRNA from 1 species
UACAGAGGUGCCAAGCGUUAGGCGGAAUCACUGGGCUUAAAGCGCGUGUAGGUGGGUCGUUAAGUGUCCGCGUGAAAUCCCACGGCUCAACCGUGGAACUGCCGGGCAUACUGGCGAUCUUGAGGCGUUCAGGGGCGAGCGGAACAAGUGGUGGAGCGGUGAAAUGCGUAGAUAUCACUUGGAACGCCAAUGGUGAAAACAGGUCGCUGGGGCUGUGCUGACGCUGAGACACGAAAGCCAGGGGAGCAAACGGG